CCAUUUAUUUAGGAUAUAUCGAGGAAUAUAUUCACGUAUCCACAGAUAUUUUCAUCUUGGGUCCGUUUCCGAUCAAAGCUGGUGACUGCUAAGAAAUCUCGAAAUUCCAUGGCUCCUUCCAAGAUUACUCCCGGUGCUCGUCUUCUAAGCAACUGAAAUCUCAUCUCUGCAAGUUCCUCAAGCUGUGUCGACCUCAGAACGAUUUCCCUUUCUUCAAGUUUUGGAGCUUAGGUUAUAAUGUAAUGAUAUUCCGAUAAUGAGAACCUAACAUAUUGAGUGUAUUAGAUUCAAUUUUUGAGUUUACAUGACUAAUUUCUACCUCCUGCUUCCCGUUCUUUAUGAACAGAUUCCUUUUCUCUUACUUUCGAGUUUGUACUGAUGUGUAAAUAUCACUGCUGUUAUUGCUUGUUCUGAACUUCUCUGCGAUCCUGUAAUCUGUUGUCUUGAUGUUAGUGCAUCACUUUGAUCAGUUAUAUUCUACGUCUGUUUGCUUUGAUAGCACUUCGUUUUACUACUAUUGUCUUAUCUACUACUCUCUUUUAGCUAUUGCCUUAAUGGAAAUCUCUAUUCACAUGUUAUAUUGUCUUAUCUGAUUAAUAACAUUAAAAUUCUAUGCUAAUAAGGGAUCUCUUUGCUUUAUUCCUGUUCCCACUACCUUAGUAUUCCUGUCAUACUGCUUUAAGAUGCGACAUUGAGGAGAUUUAUUUUUCUAUGGAAAUUUAUCUCCCUCUUAGUGAAUGAGGAUCAAGUGGAGAGGGACAAGUUGGUUGAGAGUGAUUGGUAAGACAAUAUUCCAAUUUUAAUGUUGAACAUGUUGUGGGACAACUUUUAAGCCUUUAAGAUUUAUGGUUAGUGGCAGAUGGUUGGUGUACUUCAGAUAUGAAAGGGAGAAUGUGAUUGCAGUGGAGAAAUUGACAAACGCCUUUUCGAAAAAAGGGAAGACUAGAAUUGGAGAGAAGUAAAAAUGCUUUAUUAAUUUAGUGGUUAUUUUGUUUGAACAGAUGACUUUCUGUGUAUUCGGAUUACUGAAAGAUAAAGAAAGUAUUAUAACAGGUGAAUUUACUAUGUUGAUAAUUUCAGCUGACUGUUCCUUCAGGACGAGAGGCGGAGAGAUAUAGAAGAAGAGAGAAGCUUAGUUAGAUUCAAACUUGAAGACCCUAAAAAACUCAAAAUGGGUGGAAGCAAAUCCUACAAUCAAAUAAAUGUUGCUGUAAAUUAUUGGCAUGCUCCUCAAACACUGAAAUUAAUACUCAUGAUACCUUUUAGUUAUUGGGAAAAAUGUUUUAGAUUUCAUCCUUCAAAUCGGAUUUUCUCGACUAAAUUUUUGUUUCCAAUCAACUUUGCUUAGCCUCACAUUCAUUUUAGAUUUGGUUUGUUCAUUGAAAGGUAGAAUUUAGAAAUAUUUGCUUGCUUGUGUAUUUCUUUUCGAGAUGGGAUGGUUGAUGUGCCGAAAAGUUCUUUGGUAUGCAGAGCCCUGGGAUCAGAAAGGACAGGAUAUGGGAGGAAAACUUAAAAGCCAUAUUACAUGGUAAAGACGGAGUUGGGAUGCCAGAGAUUAACAAAAUUCUCUCUCCCCAAUUCAAUGAUCCAAGUCUAAGAAAUAUGGAAAUGGAACGUCAGAAAGAUAACAAGUCAUCAGAGAUUUUCCUUGUUUUUCCAUUGUUCUUUAUAUGUUUAAGACACUUAAAAUCACUGGAUCUAUUUCCAUAACCUAAAUGGCUUAAUCAGAAUGCCUCUUCACCAAUGUUGUUCAUCAA